UACGGAGGGUGCAAGCGUUAUCCGGAUUCACUGGGUUUAAAGGGUGCGUAGGUGGGCAAGUAAGUCAGUGGUGAAAUCUCCGGGCUUAACCCGGAAACUGCCAUUGAUACUAUUUGUCUUGAAUACUGUGGAGGUCAGCGGAAUAUGUCAUGUAGCGGUGAAAUGCUUAGAUAUGACAUAGAACACCAAUUGCGAAGGCAGCUGGCUACACAAAUAUUGACACUGAGGCACGAAAGCGUGGGGAGCGAUCCGG
rnacentral:rRNA from 1 species